rnacentral:rRNA from 1 species
GACGAACGCUGGCGGCGUGCUUAACACAUGCAAGUCGAACGGAAAGGCCCUGCUUUUGUGGGGUGCUCGAGUGGCGAACGGGUGAGUAACACGUGAGUAACCUGCCCUUGACUUUGGGAUAACUUCAGGAAACUGGGGCUAAUACCGGAUAGGAGCUCCUGCUGCAUGGUGGGGGUUGGAAAGUUUCGGCGGUUGGGGAUGGACUCGCGGCUUAUCAGCUUGUUGGUGGGGUAGUGGCUUACCAAGGCUUUGACGGGUAGCCGGCCUGAGAGGGUGACCGGCCCCAUUGGGGCUGGGAUCCGGCCCGGACCCCCACGGGGGGCAGGAGGGGGGAAUUUUGCACAAGGGGCGGAAGCCUGAUGCAGCAACCCCGCGUGCGGGAUGACGGCCUUCGGGUUUUAAACCGUUUUCGCCUGUGACGAAGCGUGGGGGCCGGUAAUGGGUAAAGAAGCCCCGGCUAAUUCCGG